AAUAUUUCGGCAUAUAAAAAUGAUGGCAGUAAGCAAGAUGUCAAAGACUUUGAACCAAGGUCCAACAUUUCAGCUUAUGGAGACAAUGACAUUGAUGUAAAAGAAAAGAAUGGAGCCAUUAAAGAUUUUGAACCUAGACCUAAUAUUUCAGCUUAUGGAGAAAAUGUCAUUGAUGCUGAUGAAAAGAAGAAACCAGUCAAAGAUUUUGAACCAAGACCCAAUAUUUCAGCUUAUGGAGACAAUGACAUUGAUGUUAAGGAAAAUAAGGGAGCCACCAACGAUUUUGAGCCAAGACCCAACAUUUCAGCUUAUGGAGACAAUGUCAUUGAUGAUAAUAAAAUGAAGAAACCAGUUGAAUAUUUCCAACCAAGACCAAACAUUUCAGCUUAUGGAGAAAAUGACAUUGAUGUUAAAAAAAGUAAAGAUUUUGAACCAAGACCCAACAUUUCAGCUUUUGGAGACAAUGACAUUGAUGUUAAUGAAAAGAAGGGAGAUACUAAAGAUUUCGAACCAAGACCAAAUAUUUCAGCUUAUGGAGACAAUGCCAUUGAUGAUGAUGAAAUGAAGAAACCAAUUAAAGAUUUUAAACCAAAACCAAACAUUUCGGCUUAUGGAGACAAUGUCAUUGAUGCUGAUGAAAUGAAGAAACCAGUCGAAGGUUUUGAACCAAGACCAAACAUUUCAACUUAUGGAGACAAUGUCAUUGAUGUUGAUGAAAUGAAGAAACAACAAGUCAAAGAUUUUGAACCAAGAACCAACAUUUCAGCUUAUGGAGACAAUGACAUUGAUGUUAAAGAAAAGAAGGGAGUCACCAACGAUUUUGAGCCAAGACCCAACAUUUCAGCUUAUGGAGACAAUGUCAUUGAUGCUAAUAAAAUGAAGAAACCAGUUGACGAUUUCCAACCAAGACCAACUAUUUCAGCUUAUGGAGACAAUGCCAUUGAUAAUAGUAAAACGAAUGAAGUCAUCAAAGAUUUUGAAUCAAGACCCAACAUUUCAGCUUACGGUAACAAUGAAGUUGACACUAAGAAAAAAGAAAAAGCUGCCAAAGAUUUUGAACAAAGACCCAUUAUUUCAGCUUAGGAAGACAACAUCAUUGAUGCUGAGAAAGAUGACGAGUUCACAAAGGAUUUUGAACGCAUGCCAAGAGUCACUAAAUAUGAUGCAUAACUUUAAUAAUUAAAAUAAAAUGCUAUUUCAAUUUCUGAUGUAAUACACUUAAUAAGUCAUUGCUACUUUAUGUUCAAUGAUAUUUAGUAUAUGUAUUAUGCAUUAAGCUUUUUGAAUGAAGGAACUUCUCCUUGUUUACUGAUGACAGUCAGUCAUUCACUAUUUUUAGAGUCUUUUUAUGAUAUUUUUGAGUUCACAAGCAAUCUUAAGCAACAAGAAAAGAAAGAAAAGUAAGAAAAAACUGAAGAAACUGAAAAGUGGGCAUCGUGUCACGAUUACUAAAAAGCGUGUCACGAUUUGGAACAUAGGAUGAGUUCAUUCAAGAUUGGUUAAAACGUGUCACGAUGGCUAUUUCGUGACACGAUUUUAAGAACAUGUGGCAAGAGAAAAUAUGAUCAAAAAGAGCAAAACAGGAGGUGUCAAGAAGUAAUGGAAUUAAGAAUUCCUAUUAAUUAAUGGGCUAUGUUGAUCCAAGAGGAGAAAAACGUGAUUAAUUGGAAAGGCAGCUGGGUUAGAUGAACCUAUAUAAAGAAGCAACAAGAGAGCUGCAAAUUAUCUUUCAAAAAAAAAAGAGAGAGCUGCAAAUUAUUCAAGAUGGUGACAUCACGGUUACGGCAAGAAUCACGUUUGGCACUUGUUGGAGAAGAAAAACGGGAACAAGCAUAUCACUAAGGAAGCAACAACGGCAAUUGAAAGAAAAUUGAGGAGCACUGUCGACAACGACUAAACUUUAUUGGUUUAAUUUCUUCUUUAUGUUGUUUGCUUAUUUGAUUAUGUCUAGCUAAACAUGGUUAGUCUAGGAAUGUAUAAUCCUUUACUAGUGAUAUUAGGUUAACGUGCUUAAAACCUUCAAAGAAUAUUAGCUCACCUAAGGAAUUAGGGACUGUAAUAUGAGAAGAGGGUCCUAACUCAAGGGAUGAAUUAUGACUAUUUUGUUAACUAUCGUGGAACUAGAAAAUCAUUCAUAAGAAUAGGUGCAGUAUACCCAUUUGGGGAACAUUGAUGACUCGAAAGACCUAGUCUCAUCUCUCCAUAUAUAGUUUCCAAAACUAUCUUUAUUUUCUGUUUAUUUAAUUUUAUGCAAUCAAAUCAAAUCUACAAACAAAAUAAUUUUUACAUCCUAAAUAUUUACUUUAUUGCUAAAUUGAGAUUAAUACAUUCUUCGUAGAUACGAACUUAUUUUAUUACUUCGAUGCAUGUUUAAUACACUUGCUAAAAGUCUAUCAUUUACCAAGAAUAGGAUAUAGUCUUGGUGAUUACAAGAAUGUUUCUUCGACAUUAAUAACUUCCUUGGCAGAUGUUAAAAUAUGGCGAUAUUUCCUUUAGAUCAAUCGAUCCUUCUUUUUGAAAUUAACCUGCACCGGCCCUUGUAUGUGUUUCAUGCUUCAUGUGCUUGAGCAUAUCACUCUAGUGUUUCCAGUUCCCACCAUUAAUGUCUAUCUUGUUUCCUAUUAUAUAACAACUACAAAAGAAAAAUUAUCUACAUCUAAAGGACUUUGCAUGUCAAGAAGAUACUCAAUCAUACACAAAAUUGUUAACGAAGUUUGAACAAUUUAAAAGAAAAUGUAACAAAAACGAAAAUGAAUUGAGGAAAACAUCUAGCUCGUAGGCCCACAGUUUUAAUUGCAUAUGUAUGUUACCCACGACGUAAACUUCUAUGGCUGAAGGAGUAUUUUUUUUACCAGAACUAUGGCUAAAGGUUAACGUGGGUAUGUGGCAAUUUUCUAGCAGAGCUUGUAUUAUUGCAUUAUCGUAGAACUACUAAUUUUUACUCCAAACACUCGGACAUUUUAUUGACGAGAAUUAAAAUUAGAGGUGGGAAGUUCCCGCGAGAAUGCAUAGUUUAGCUGGCAGGGACAAUACAUUAUUAUUAUAUAUAGAGAUUGAGGUUUGAAUCCCGAACACUCCACUUAUUCAUCUUAAAAAUGAAUUCUAACCAACUACAUCAAAACAACUCAAAUGACAAAGAAUGCAAGCCGUUUGCUAAUAAGUCUUAAAAUUUAUCUUUUUUUUUAAGUAAGUCUUAAAAUUUGAGCUACAACCAUUGAAAAUAAUUUAUAGCUAACAUUACUAUAUAGCGAUGAGGCUAAAUCGUUUCACUUUGAAACGAGCUUCAGCCUUAAGAUGAGAGCGGUUAGGGUUAUGUUUAUGUCAUUGAUCUUUUCCAGAUUUGAGAAACACCCCCGAGCCAAAUUUCAAGUAGGAAAAUCCAAAGUGUUAAAGUUGCUUUUGAAUAAAAUAGAUGAAAUCAUUUGGGCAUGGAGACUUAUAAAUUACCCAUAGUUCAACAAAAGCAACCUGAACCUCAAUGAGGUUACCUCAUUAUCCGUCACCGAUCAUCAACAUAGUUCUAUCAUGCUGAAUAUGCUAAGAUAAUUAUUAUUGGUCCCUUAGUAAAUGGAAACAAACUUUUUUUAAUCACCCUCUUCAUAAAUCUAAGAAUCCUUGGCUCUGUUCGGUAAAAAUAAGCUAUAAGCUAGCUGAUAGCUGAUAAGUUAGCUGAUAGCUGAUGAGUGAUAACUGAUAGCUGAUAGCUGAAAAGCUUGCUUAAUAAAAAUAAUGUGUUUGGUAAAAUUAGUUGUUGAAGUGGCUGAUAAAUAUAAAAUGACAUUUUUUUUUUUAAUAUACAUAUAAACACACAUUUUUUUGUAAUGUAUUUAUUUUUUAAUAUUUUUAAUUAUAGUUAAAUAUGUUUUUGGUCCCUAUAAAUAUUCAAAUUUUUGGUCUUAGUCUCCAUAAAAAAAUUCUUCGACCUUUAGUCCUAAAAAAAAAAUCACUGACAAUUUUGAUCUCUGCUUUAUGUAUCCCAAAAUUAAGAGAAAGGUGGAAACAAAAAGUGAGUUAGAAUAUAUAAAAUUUUACAACGUACAAAAGACUAGUUAUUUUUUCCUUUAAAAAAAAUAGGCUAGUUAUUUUUUUUGUGGUGUACGGCAGGUUAGUUAUAGCAAAAUAUAAAGCAUUUCCUUAAAAUAUAUAUAUAUAUAUAUAUAUAUAUAUAUAUAUAUAUAUAUAUAUAUAUAUAUAAAGUGCUCCUUAAAAAAAAAACUAUGUUGCAUUUUUUUUAAGGGAAAAAAUGGGGCGGUUAUAAAGAUGAACAUGAGUAGUUGUUUAAUUAAAAAAAUAAUUAAUUUAAAUUAAUAGGGUUAAAGUUGGAAGAAAAUAUAAAAAGCUACCAGCUAUAAGCUAAAAAGCUACUUGAAAUAGCUUUUCAAAAAACGCUAUAAGCUCAUGAAAAAAGCUUGUUACCAAACACGUCACGUUUUCAUCUAACGAGCUUAUAAGAUAAUCCAACAAACUAUAAGUUAACUUUUUUGUGUUACCAAACAUAACCCUUCUGUUUUUGGAGAGUAACAAUCCUAUUGUAACGUUUUUACUUGAGCGUUAAGAGAUGGAAGAACAGGGUAUUCAGAUCACCUUGGUUCCCCCUAACUUAUAGCGACACUGUCGGUAUCAGUAGUUGUCAUCAAAUUUGAUAAGCCAAGCCACCUUUAAUCCGCUCAAGUUAUUAAUCAUUCAAAGGCAUUUUCGGAAUUAAUCUUAAGCAGUUCAAGUUAGAAAUGAUUUGUUUAUUUAUGCGUUGGAGUCUAACAUGUCAAAUAUUAAAAUCACAACAUAUAAAUAAAAGCAUAAAUUUUAUUCUUAUCAAUGUUUAAUUUAAAUAUGUCUUCAAUGGCGUACCCUUCUCCCACAAAGACGCAUUUUUAGUAAUGAUGUUGAAAUCAACUUCUAUAGAUUGAGUAAACUCUGCAUUAUUUAAAAGAAAAUUUGAAACAAGAUUUUUUCAAAUUUAUGGAGUGUGCAUCACAUCCUCCUUCAGUAUUAGAGUCUUUCUGGAGAUGAACUUCAUCAUAUUAGUUUAAGUAACACAUGGAUCAAAUAAUCUUGAAACUUAAGUUGGAGUGCGCAAGCGGAUAAGGCUGGUUUUUUGUUUUGUUGCUUAAUAGCAGUUUUAGUCCCCUAACUUUUCUAAAGUUACGAUUUUGAUCCCUUAAGAAAAAGAACUACAAAACUGUCCCCUAAGUUUUGCAUAUGUGGCAGUUUUGACCCCCAAGGUCAAUUUUGACUCGGUCUACGCUCACGUGGCACCUUAAGUGAGGCGCCGCGUGUUAUUUUUCUUUACCAAAAAGUGCUAUUGGGGGGCCAAAACUGCCAGAGUUGCAAAACUUAGGGGCCGGUUUUGUAGUUUUUUUUUCUUAGGGGGCCAAUAUCGCAAAUUCGUGAAAGUUAGGGAGCGAAACUGCUAUUAAGCCUUUCUUUUAAUUGUUAGUUGGAUAAGAUUUAAACGAAACUUGUUCGUUAAGAAAAGCACUACCGGAUAAUGAUAAAAUUUAUUAAUUUAACAUUUUCGAAUGAUAAAAAAAACUUUGGCCUAAGCCCAACCCUAUGGCGUCACCGCAUAUGUGAUAUAUAUUUUCUUGAGCACUCUCGGUUCACAAAAAUGAGUAUCCAAGGCACACUCGUGAGAGUGAUUCUCCUUUUUUACUCAAAAAAAAAAAAAGAAAGAAAGAGUGAUUCUCCUUUUAAACAAACAUUAUUAAUGUGUUUCUUCUUAAAAAUUAAAAGUAAUGCACACAUUUCAAUACUUCCUCCGUCCUAAAUUAUAAGCAAAAAAAAAAAAAAUCACAUUUAUUAAGAAAACUAAAACAUAAGAAUUUGAAGUAUAAUUUUUUGUGUUUUCUUUAAAAAAAAAUUAUAGGAAGAUGUAAAAACAAUUUUCGUUGGCUAUUGGUUAUGGAAAAAGUGAAAGAGAGAGAAAAUUGAAUGUAAUUUGCGUUUAAUUUUAUGAGAAUAAACAAAAGUUUUUCUUGGGAAAAAGAUUUAAAAAAAAAGAUUAAAUAAGAUAAAAAUUUAUCUUUUUUGCUUAUAUUUUAGGACAAAGAAAAUGAGUUUUUUUGCUUAUAUUAUGAGACGGGGGGAAUAUAUGACACUUUUACCGUUUUCAAUUCACACCAUGCUAAUCCUAUCAAAUGUGAGACUUGUGUUUAUUUCAAUCUUCAUUCGUGAUUAAAUAGAAACUAACCAAUUAGAAUAUUGACAUUAGUAAGUACUCUAUGAAUACAAUAUUUAAAAGGAUACUGUUAACUUGUGCCCAUAGAGUAUAUGUUAAUAAACUUAAAAGAAGAAACUUUCUCUAAAAUUUUAUACAUUCAAUUAAUUAAAAAUUAAAAGUAAUGCACACAUUACAAUAAACUAUUUUUAUAUUUAAUUUUCCUAUUUAAAAAAGAUGCAAGAUGCACGUGAUAAGCACCAGACAAGUAUCAAUUUCAAAUCUCAAUAAUAAUCAAAGUGGAGGUGGUUUUCCUUAAAAAAAAAAAAAAAAGUAAGAGGAGGUGGUUGAAGCAAAAUUAACCCGGAUUUGCCCAGCUGUCAUUCCUAGGACGCACCUACAAUCUUAAAACCAAAAUGCUGGUCUAAUAUUAAGCAGUUAUAUUUAAAUGUUUUAAUUUUUUUACACUCAUUCAACACUUAAUUUUCAGAAUUUUUUUAUUUUUAUCUAAAAAAUUGUUUUUUGUUUAUAAGAGGGAAGAGAAAUAUAUAUUUUAAGAUAAAAGAAGAGGUAAAAGAAAAGUGUAAUUUCCUCAAAUUCUUAAUAUUAAUUUAAUAUUAAUAAUAGACACACGUGGUCACGUGCUAUCUACCAUGAUUGCUGAUUUUUUAUUUUUUUUUAGAGGAUGAUUGCUGAUCUUCUAGCUAUAAAUAGGUGAUUUAUUAGUUAUAGGAAUCAUCCACUUCCAUCGAAAUAUAAAAUCAGUGGCUUUUAAUAUCAAAGAUGAGACCUGCUCUUGCUUUAUUUCCCCUCUUGCUUUUCUUGGUAUGUUUUACUUUUCGUGGUUUCAAUUAGUAGAGUGCACUCUAAAUUCUAAUGCUUCAAAAUAAAAAAAACCUCUGAUAUUUUACAUUUAAUUGAACAAUUAUUUUCUUGUUGGAAAGUUUUUGUCUUUUCUUCCGGAUACUGAAAGUUAAUCGAUUAGUACUUCUUAGAGUAAUUUUAUGGAAAAUAUAAGUUAUUUCGUGUUUAUUUAUAUCCAUAAAAUCAUUUUUAAAUCUUCUUUAUCAUUUAUGAUUUCGUUAUAAUCACUGACGUCAAAAUUAUUGUCUGCCUUUCUGCUAUCGUAUUGCACUCAAUUGUUUGUUUAUUUCAUCUUAUUUUGUUAUUAAAUUUCAAUAAUAUAUCCCAAUCAGAUAAAGAUUUUAGGUUUAUUGAUGUGUUUAGCCCUUGCAAUUAGGCGGCAUUUAAAAAUUCGUCCCUGUAAUUGUUAAUCCUGGCAUUUUAACCCUGCAAUUGUUAAUCAUUUAAAAUUUCGUCCCUCUCCCCACUUAAUCACUGCCACGCCACAUGAAAUUCCAAAUUUACCCCUGGGUUUCCAAUUCUUUCUUCAAUAUUUUGUCCUCUUCUUAAGGGCAAAAUUGAAAUUUCAUGUGUGACAGUGAUUGCCACGUCAUCAAAUUAGUGACGUGGCAGUGAUUAAUUUGGUCCAAGGACCAAAUUUUAAACGAUUAACAAUUGCAGGGUUAAAAUGCCAGGAUUACCAAUUACAGGGACGAAUUUUUAAAUGCCGCCUAAUUGCAAGGGCUAAACACAUCAAUAAACCAAGAUUUUAUUCAUAUUGCAGUGGAAUUGCUUAUAUUAAAAUGAGAUGAGAUUUAGUUGAUUUUUUAAUUAAAAAUUUAAAUAGUAUUAUUCAAUACAAAAGAUAAACUUGUAAUUAAAAUAGUUUAACCGAAUGGUAUAAUUAGAAGAUAAAAACUCAGUCCAAAAUCUUGUACCCCCUUCACAUAGAGGUAUAGAUAGGUAUAUAUACCACAAUUAAAUAAAGAUUCAACGUGUCAUGUUUCUAUUAUAGUGAAAUUGUUCAUAUUAUACCGAGAUUUAACCAACUUUUCUAAUUAAAGGUUUAAAUAAUAUUUAAAAAAAAGUAAAAUUGUAAUAAGAAUAGUUAAUGAAGGGCACAACUGAAUGAUAAAAAGUCAUCCUAAAAUCAUAUUUCUUCUUUAUAUAUAUAUAUAUAUAUAUAUAUAUAUAUAUAUAUAUAUAUAUAUAUAUAUAUAUAUAUUGUACAACAGAAACUUGUGUUUAAAAUAAUUUUCAUUAUAAUAAGAUUUUACAUUUUUUUAAAUGUAAUUUAUUUCUUUGCUAAAAAAGUUAUUUAUUUCUCAUUAUUAACAAACUGCCAAGAUUGUGUGACACAAAUAAUAAAUAUUUUGGUCCCUUGACCAUUAGGUCCAUUGCACGGAAGAUGCCUUUUUUGAUUUACCAAAAAAUGAUUAGCAAGCUCGUUGGAAAUCCUUAAAUAUAAUUAUUUUAUAAAAAAAUCUCAAAUUAAAAAGUUCUUAUUUGAGCUAAUUAGCCAUACUUAUACGACUCACAUUGGUUAUUCACUUGAGUGAGUGUUUUUUUUCUGCAAAACAUUCAAGUGAGUGUUGGGGACCUGACCAAUAGCAAAAUAAAAAUAAAAAAACACAUAAAUAUUAUAUAAAUAUGACAUUGAUUAAUGUAAUCUUAUAAUUGAUAUUUACUAAUUCUAUUUAAAAGUUUAUUAUGUUCCAUUUAUUUCUCUUAAAAUCGCAAGCUCUCCCCCAAAAAACAUCUCCUCCACUUAAGAUCAAUCCACCUAAAUUUCUCUCCGAGAGUCAUUUUAAUCACUUUUACUUCUUAUUGAAUAGAAACCUAAAACAUCAUGAGAAAACAAAUUCUUAAAAGAAUAUCUCAAUUAAUGAUUAUUUUAAAAAUAUGUAGAUCAACCAUCUCUAAUAUUCUUGAAGUUAUUAUCGGAUAAAGAACAAUAGAUUCUGGUUGACAUGUUCCCGAUAAGAAGAUCUACUCUCAUCAGUUUGAGAAAAUGGGGCAUUCUUAAGGAACAUAAAACAAUUAUCAAUGAUUUUCCAAAUUUUAGGAUCAAUUUAUUAGGAUACAAGUUAAUAUGGUGGCUUUGCUGCUUAGAAAAGGCUUCCACAUUUUAUCUCAACUCCAACACUGCUUACGAUGUUCAAUAUGAUCUCCCUAUCCUUAAAAAAAAGAAUAUAAUAAAUAAUUAUGAGUGUUUUUUCCUUUUCGGUUAGGGAAUAAAUUUCUCUUUUAAACGAUUCUAUAUUAAAAAAGAGAGCUAUACAACUGCACAUAUAGACCAUUAUUUUUUCAUAUAUCUUAUUAAUUUCUUAUUUUGCGAUAAAGUUUGUAGCAAUUGUAGAAACAAGAAAAGAUUUGGGACAAUAUCGAAAACUAGUCAUGAAAGAUGAAGACAUGCGAAAAGAAAUUCAAGGGCUUCUUUACACCGAGACGAAAAAGAAUCUCAAGACUCCAAAGCAGUGUUUCAAAGGUUUUAAACAUGAUUGUGAAGAGCCAUUUGUAAUAGACACACAAGUCACCAUAGAAAAUGACAUCAUCCGUGCUAAGAGAAAGAAGGGAGUCACUAAAAAUUUUGAACCAAGACCAAAUGUUUCAAAAUAUGAAGAUAAUGACAUUAAUGCUGAGGAAAAGAAGAGAGUCGUCAAAGACUUUGAACCAAGACCUAAUGUUUCAGCUUAUGGAGCAAAUGAAAUUGAUGCUAAGGAUAAGAAGGGAGUUAUUGAUGAUUUUGAACCAAGACCCAAUGUUUCAGCUUAUGGAGACAAUGACGUUGAAGCUAAGAAAAAGAAGGGAAUCACUGAAGAUUUUGAACCAAGAUACAAUGUUUCAGCAUAUGGAGACAAUGGUGUAGAAGUUAAGGGAAAGAAGAAAGUCGUUAAAGAUUUCAAACCAAGACCAAAUGUUUCAGCUUAUGGAGACAAUGGUAUUGAUGUUAAGGAAAAUAAAGGAGCCAAUACGGAUUUUGAACCAAGACCAAAUUACGUUUCAGCAUAUGGAGACAAUAAUAUUGAUGUUACAGAAAAUAAAGGAGCCAAUAAAGAUUUUGAACCAAGACCCAAUGUUUCUGCUUAUGGAGAUAGUGAUAUUGAUGUUAAGGAAAAUAAAGGAGUCAGUAAAGAUUUUGAACCAAGACCCAACGUUUCAACAUAUGGAAACAAUGAUAUCGAUGUUACAGAAAAUAAAGAAGUCAAUAAAGCUUUUGAACCAAGAGCCAACGUUUCAGCGUAUAAAAACAAUGACAUUGAUGUUAUGAAAAAGAAGAACGUUACCAAAGAUUUUGA
rnacentral:lncRNA from 1 species